rnacentral:rRNA from 1 species
GAUGAACGCUGGCGGCGUGCCUAAUACAUGCAAGUCGAGCGAACGGACGAGAAUCUUGCUUCUCUGAUGUUAGCGGCGGACGGGUGAGUAACACGUGGAUAACCUACCUAUAAGACUGGGAUAACUUCGGGAAACCGGAGCUAAUACCGGAUAAUAUUUUGAACCGCAUGAUUCAAUAGUGAAAUACGUUCUUUCUGUCACUUAUAGAUGGAUCCGCGCUGCAUUAGCUAGUUGGUAAGGUAACGGCUUACCAAGGCAACGAUGCAUAGCCGACCUGAGAGGGUGAUCGGCAAAACGGGAACUGAGACAGGGUCCAGACGACUACGGGAGGCAGCAGUAGGGAAUCUUACGCAAUGGGCGAAAGCAUGACGGAGCAAAGCCGCGUGAGUGAUGAAGGGCUUCGGAUCGUAAAACUCUGUUAGUAGGGAAGAACAAAUGUGUAAGUAACUGUGCACAUAGUGACGGUAACUAAUAAGAAAGCCACGGCUAACUACGUG